GGGCGAAAACUUUACAAUGCUGGCAACAGCGAUAAGGGAACCUCGAGUGCCAGGUUACAAAUCUGGCUGUCGAGAUGCCUAAAAAGCAUUUCAUAGCAAGGGCCGGGCAAGACCGGUGCCAGCCGCCGCGGUAACACCGGCGGCUCGAGUGGUAACCGUUAUUAUUGGGUCUAAAGGGUCUGUAGCCGGCCGGAUAAGUCUCUUGAGAAAUCUGGCAGCUUAACUGUCAGGCUUUCAGGAGAUACUGUCUGGCUCGAGGCCGGGAGAGGUGAGAGGUACUUCAGGGGUAGGGUGAAAUCUUGUAAUCCUUGAAGGACCACCAGUGGCGAAGGCGUCUCACCAGAACGGACCUGACGGCAAGGGACGAAAGCUAGGGGCACGAACCGGAUUAGAUACCCC
rnacentral:rRNA from 1 species